GCCCCUGUGACGCAGUGGUAGCGUGUGGAUCUUAUGCGCCUUUGGAUGCAAGGCCAUGCAGGUCCGAAGCCGUGAGUUCAACCCUCACCAGGGGCA